GGCUGCUUGGCUUGGCGGUGGUCGCUUGGCUUGGCGUGGCAGUGAUCGCUUGGCUUGGCAUUUCUGGCUUGGCGGUCCUCCUUUCGCAGAUUGGAAACCGCGGGCUAUCCUGCUGGGAGGUUGUGGCCGAGGCAGUAGCUCGCUACUGAUGGCCUCCUGGGGUGGAGAAAAGCGGGGAGGGGCUGAGGGGUCUCCGAAGCUGGCAGUCUACGCCACGAGGAAGACCCGUAGCGUCAGGAGCCAGGAGGACCAGUGGUACUUGGGCUACCCGGGGGACCAGUGGUCUUCGGGCUUCUCCUACAGCUGGUGGAAAAAUAGCGUCGGCAGCGAGAGCAAGCACGCAUUCAGCAACUAGUUCCUGAAUAUAAGGAAAAACAGACACCUGAAAGUCUUCCUCAAAAUAACAAUCCAGAUUGGCAUCCUACUAAUUUGACCCUUAGUGAUGAGACUUGUCAGAGAUCCAAGAAUCUGAAAGUUGGUGAUAAAAGUCCAUCUGUAUCACCAUCAAUGCCUGAAAAUCAGUCAGCAACCAAAGAACUGGGACAGAUGAACUUAACAGAACGAGAAAAAAUGGACACUGGAGUUGUACUUCUCUCAGGGAAUGAUACUCUCCAUGACCUGUGCCAAUCACAGCUACCAGAAAACAAAGAGAGCAAAGAAGCAGAACAAGACUUGGAGCUGACAUCAGAGGAAGAGCAAGAAAGACUUAAAGGAUGCGAAAAUAAGCAGCCACAGAAAACGUCUCAAGAACCAGAAAUGGCUAAGGAUUGUGAUAGAGAGGAUAUACCUAUAUAUCCAGUACUUCCUCAUGUGCAAAAAUCUGAGGAAAUGUGGAUUGAACAAGGCAAAUUAGAGUGGAAAAACCAAUUAAAACUCGUCAUAAAUGAGUUAAAGCAGAGGUUUGGUGAAAUUUAUGAAAAAUACAAAAUUCCGGCUUGUCCUGAGGAAGAGCCACUACUUGAUAACUCUACAAGAGGAACAGAUGUGAAGGAUAUUCCCUUUAAUUUGACAAAUAACAUACCUGGUUGUGAGGAAGAAGAUGCAUCUGAAAUAUCUGUCUCAGUGGUAUUCGAGACAUUUCCUGAACAAAAAGAACCCAGUCUCAAAAAUAUCAUCCAUCCAUACUAUCAUCCGUACUCUGGGUCCCAGGAACAUGUUUGCCAGUCAUCUUCUAAGCUUCAUUUACAUGAAAAUAAAUUAGACUGCGACAAUGAUAACAAACUAGGCAUUGGACAUAUUUUUAGUACAGAUAACAACUUUCAUAAUGAUGCAAGCACUAAGAAAGCAAGGAACCCAGAAGUGGUUACGGUUGAAAUGAAAGAAGACCAAGAGUUUGAUUUGCAAAUGACAAAAAAUAUGAACCAAAAUAGUGACAGUGGCAGUACAAAUAACUAUAAAAGCCUGAAACCUAAAUUAGAAAAUCUGAGUUCUUUACCACCAGAUUCUGACAGAACAUCAGAAGUAUAUCUACAUGAAGAAUUACAGCAAGACAUGCAAAAGUUUAAGAAUGAGGUCAACACAUUAGAAGAAGAGUUCCUGGCUUUGAAGAAAGAAAAUGUUCAACUUCAUAAAGAGGUUGAAGAAGAAAUGGAGAAGCACAGAAGUAAUAGCACAGAAUUAUCAGGAACCCUAACUGAUGGUACUACUGUUGGCAAUGAUGAUGAUGGACUAAAUCAGCAGAUUCCUAGGAAGGAAAAUGAAGAGCAUGACAGGCCUGCAGAUAAAACAGCUAAUGAAAAGAACAAGGUCAAAAACCAAAUAUAUCCUGAGGCUGACUUUGCUGACUCAAUGGAGCCAUCUGAAAUAGCCUCAGAGGAUUGUGAAUUGUCUCACUCUGUUUAUGAGAAUUUUAUGUUGCUGAUUGAACAACUUAGAAUGGAGUAUAAAGACUUGCCUUAAAACAAGAAAAUGGGAGAAAAGAAAUGCCGAUAUGUUGUAUAAUAAAGAUAGUGAACAGUUAAGAAUAAAAGAAGAGGAGUGUGGGAAAGUGGUUGAAACAAAGCAACAACUUAAAUGGAAUCUGAGAAGACUUGUUAAGGAAUUGAGGACAGUAAGAAAUAACUUGGAUCUGGUUGUGCAGGAGAGAAACGAUGCCCAGAAGCAACUUUCUGAAGAACAGGAUGCCAGAAUAUUACAAGAUCAGAUUCUGACAAGUAAACAAAAGGAACUAGAAAUGGCUCAAAAGAAAAUGAAUUCUGAGAUUUCUCAUAGGCAUCAGAAAGAAAAGCAUCUCUUUCAUGAAAAUUGCAUGUUGCAGGAAGAAAUUGCCUUGCUGAGACUGGAAAUAGAUACAAUAAAAAAUCAGAACAAGCAAAA
ensembl:lncRNA CCDC144BP coiled-coil domain containing 144B, pseudogene